CCGGGCGACGGUUGUCCCGGUUUAAGCGUGUAGGCUGGUUUUCCAGGCAAAUCCGGAAAAUCAAGGCUGAGGCGUGAUGACGAGGCACUACGGUGCUGAAGCAACAAAUGCCCUGCUUCCAGGAAAAGCCUCUAAGCAUCAGGUAACAUCAAAUCGUACCCCAAACCGACACAGGUGGUCAGGUAGAGAAUACCAAGGCGCUUGAGAGAACUCGGGUGAAGGAACUAGGCAAAAUGGUGCCGUAACUUCGGGAGAAGGCACGCUGAUAUGUAGGUGAAGUCCCUCGCGGAUGGAGCUGAAAUCAGUCGAAGAUACCAGCUGGCUGCAACUGUUUAUUAAAAACACAGCACUGUGCAAACACGAAAGUGGACGUAUACGGUGUGACGCCUGCCCGGUGCCGGAAGGUUAAUUGAUGGGGUUAGCGGUAACGCGAAGCUCUUGAUCGAAGCCCCGGUAAACGGCGGCCGUAACUAUAACGGUCCUAAGGUAGCGAAAUUCCUUGUCGGGUAAGUUCCGACCUGCACGAAUGGCGUAAUGAUGGCCAGGCUGUCUCCACCCGAGACUCAGUGAAAUUGAACUCGCUGUGAAGAUGCAGUGUACCCGCGGCAAGACGGAAAGACCCCGUGAACCUUUACUAUAGCUUGACACUGAACAUUGAGCCUUGAUGUGUAGGAUAGGUGGGAGGCUUUGAAGUGUGGACGCCAGUCUGCAUGGAGCCGACCUUGAAAUACCACCCUUUAAUGUUUGAUGUUCUAACGUUGACCCGUAAUCCGGGUUGCGGACAGUGUCUGGUGGGUAGUUUGACUGGGGCGGUCUCCUCCUAAAGAGUAACGGAGGAGCACGAAGGUUGGCUAAUCCUGGUCGGACAUCAGGAGGUUAGUGCAAUGGCAUAAGCCAGCUUGACUGCGAGCGUGACGGCGCGAGCAGGUGCGAAAGCAGGUCAUAGUGAUCCGGUGGUUCUGAAUGGAAGGGCCAUCGCUCAACGGAUAAAAGGUACUCCGGGGAUAACAGGCUGAUACCGCCCAAGAGUUCAUAUCGACGGCGGUGUUUGGCACCUCGAUGUCGGCUCAUCACAUCCUGGGGCUGAAGUAGGUCCCAAGGGUAUGGCUGUUCGCCAUUUAAAGUGGUACGCGAGCUGGGUUUAGAACGUCGUGAGACAGUUCGGUCCCUAUCUGCCGUGGGCGCUGGAGAACUGAGGGGGGCUGCUCCUAGUACGAGAGGACCGGAGUGGACGCAUCACUGGUGUUCGGGUUGUCAUGCCAAUGGCACUGCCCGGUAGCUAAAUGCGGAAGAGAUAAGUGCUGAAAGCAUCUAAGCACGAAACUUGCCCCGAGAUGAGUUCUCCCUGACUCCUUGAGAGUCCUGAAGGAACGUUGAAGACGACGACGUUGAUAGGCCGGGUGUGUAAGCGCAGCGAUGCGUUGAGCUAACCGGUACUAAUGAACCGUGAGGCUUAACCUUACAAC
rnacentral:rRNA from 1 species